rnacentral:tRNA from 1 species
GCGGAGGUAGCUCAGCUGGCCAGAGCACCUGGCUUCCACCCAGGGUGUCGCGGGUUCAAAUCCCGUCCUCCGCU